GACGAACCGUGCGAACGUUAUUCGGAAUCACUGGGCUUAAAGGGCGCGUAGGCGGGCGGCCAAGUCAGGGGUGAAAUCGUUCGGCCCAACCGGACAAGGGCCCCUGAUACUGGCUGUCUCGAGGGAGGUAGGGGUCGAUGGAACCUCCGGUGGAGCGGUGAAAUGCGUAGAUAUCGGAAGGAACGCCGGUGGCGAAAGCGAUCGACUGGACCUCUUCUGACGCUGAGGCGCGAAAGCCAGGGGAGCAAACGGG
rnacentral:rRNA from 1 species